UACGUAGGGCGCAAGCGUUAUCCGGAAUUAUUGGGCGUAAAGAGCUCGUAGGCGGUUUGUCGCGUCUGCCGUGAAAGUCCGGGGCUCAACUCCGGAUCUGCGGUGGGUACGGGCAGACUAGAGUGAUGUAGGGGAGACUGGAAUUCCUGGUGUAGCGGUGAAAUGCGCAGAUAUCAGGAGGAACACCGAUGGCGAAGGCAGGUCUCUGGGCAUUAACUGACGCUGAGGAGCGAAAGCCAGGGGAGCAAACGGG
rnacentral:rRNA from 1 species